UUGCUUUGGCAGAAAAUAUACUAAAAUUGGAACUAUAAAGAGAAGAUUAGCAUGUACCCUACACAAGGAUGACACACAAAUUCGUGAAGUGUUCCAUAUUUCU
rnacentral:snRNA from 1 species